UUUUUUUACGUACGAUUGUGCUUGGAAAUCUUUAACUAUAUGUGAGUACGCUGACAUACUCUUCGUGUUAUGAUAUUACGGUAAGUGGUAAGCUGAGACUGAGGUGGGAGUAAUACAUAUAGUAACUUUAGAUGAGGGGAACAAAGUUAAGUCUUUUAAGAAAAGGUGUUAACACAUAAAAAUGUCCUCAUGCAGCAAAACGGAAAACAAUCUCUCGUUUAGCAUGAAACCAUAAUUAAGAACGUAUAUAGACCAUCGCACAUCGGCGUACGGACCAUCGCACUUCGGCGUAGACCAUCGCACUUCAGCGUGACCAUCGCACUUCAGCGUCCCCAUCGCACCUCCGAG
rnacentral:lncRNA from 1 species